UACGUACCGUCCAAACGUUAUUCGGAAUUACUGGGCUUAAAGGGUACGUAGGCGGCGCGGUAAGUCGGGUGUGAAAUCUCGGGGCUUAACUCCGAAACUGCAUUCGAUACUGCCGUGCUUGAGGACUGGAGAGGAGACUGGAAUUUACGGUGUAGCGGUGAAAUGCGUAGAUAUCGUAAGGAAGACCAGUGGCGAAGGCGGGUCUCUGGACAGUUCCUGACGCUGAGGCACGAAGGUCAGGGGAGCAAACGGG
rnacentral:rRNA from 1 species